CUACGUCUAAAAGACUCCUAGAUCCCUCAACAUUUUUUCAUUCUCUUUCUCCCCCUCUCAAAACAGACCGCCGCCCCUCCCUUUCUCUCUUCUCUCGUCGCCUCUUCAUUUUCUGGCGGGACUCGCCACCACGUGCUGGUGGCAGCCAGCCCUCUCUCCCAUCGCUCUUUCUUCUUCCUCCCCUCUCCUUCGAAGCCGCCACUCCCUCCUCUCCCCUCGCCAUUCUCCGAUGCAGAAACAACCCAGCGACACCCCUCUUCCCCUCUCCAUCUCUCCACCUCCCUUUGCUCUUCUCCCUCUCGCCCCUCUUCUCUUCUCCUUCUUCUUUUGCAGGCAGCAGCAACCUAGAGAGGAGCAGCUCCGACACCAGCGACUCCAGCAACAAACGGCAGGCACCAGCAGCAGCGACCAGCGCUUCCCACCGGCCAGCAGCUCCGGAAAAAUCUGCAACUCGGCGUGGACAGCAGCCCGACGAGAACUCUUCAGAAAGAAACCGACAACAACAACAACAACAACGCGAAGUGCUACUCCAACAUUCCGACCAAAAGCUGAAAACAAAGCAUUUUUAUAAGGACAGAUCUAUACAGCUCUGUCCCAGGUAUGAACUUUAUUUUGAGAUUUUUUAAAUGUUUUAUCUGAGUGGCUUGUUCUGGAAAUUUCUUGUUCUACUCCUACCAUAUUUCAUGUGUGUAAUCUGUAUUUUCUACGUUCAGUUUAGCAUGAUUAGUUAGUUGAAACUCUAUGCUCAUUUUCUUGCUCUUCUUUUUAUAUGUCUCAGAACAGGUUCGCCCAUGCUCAAUCUGGUAUAAUUCUCUAUACAUUAUUACUUGGUGGACUUUUGAUGAUUUGUUGAAACUUCGAAAAUGUGUUUUUAGCUUUGUUGAAAUGUCAUUAUUUGAUCUAAAUUUAAUGUUUAUUUUUACUGUUGUUGUUCGUCGAAUUGACUUAGCGAAUUACUCCCUCUAAUUAAGCGAAGCUAGUGUUGUAAAUUAUCUUACUUCCUUGUGAUGUGGUUAAUUAUAGUAAGAUCAUAUCUUGUUGGCAUAUUUGAUAAAAUUAACUUGGUAAUUUUUUUUAACCUGAUUUUUGGCUCUUGUGAAAUAAGAAAAAUAAUUUUAUUUGAUCCAUCUUUCCUUACUUGAAAAUUGACUAAUUUAUUAUUCAUUUAUAUAUGGUGAAAUAAUAUUGUUCUGGUUCUUAUUUAUUUAAGGUAAAAGGAUACUGUCUUUCUAAUUUUAUUCUUAUUUGUUUAUAUUUGGUAAUAAUAUUUUUAAUUGAUCGAUCAUUUCUCUUUAUUUGAAAAAUUGAUUGAUUUCUUAUUUAUUUUUAUGGUAAAAUAAUAAUAAUAUUUUAAAAUCUGAUUUCGGCCCCUUUUUUAUUUAAGAAAAAUAUUUUACUCUUCCUAAUUUAUUCUCGGUUAUAUUUGGUACAAAUUUAUUCUUUCUUAAAAUCUGAUUCCAUGCUUUCUUAUUUAAGAAACUAAUAUUAAUUAAUUCCUCCUUUUAUUAAUAGUUGGCUUGAUUAAUUCUUACUUGCUUAUUUAUGACAUCUUUAAUUAUUUUCUUGUCAUAUUUAUUUGCUCAGAUAUUUGGUAAAAUAAAUUUAGACAAAAAUCUGAUUUUUGACUCUUCUUUAAGGAAGAGGUAUUUUUAUUCCUAAUUUAUUCUUACUUGUUUAUAUUUGGUAAUGAUGUAUUUUUAAAAUUUUCUGAUUUGACUCUACUUUAAAAUAAGGAAUAUAGUUUAUUAUUUAAUUCCUUAAAAUAUUAUUUUCUUCAUGCUCCCCCUCUUUGCUAUAUAAGUAGUCUCACAUCUUGAUGUUCACUCAUUUUUCUCUCAAAUUCUCAUAACUCAUUCAUUCACUUUUUAAUACAAGUUCUCUCAUUGCUCAUAUUCAUCAUUUUUCCCCAAGUGCUACUUUAUCAUUAACUCUCAAUUCUCAUUCUUUCAUUGCUCGCAUACUUAUAAUACUAAAGUACACCGCUCACUACAUAAAAGAGAAAGGACUUUAUGGCGAACUUUUAAAAAGUGCUUUUGCUUGUGUUUGGAUCAUUUCUUGGAGUUUGUUUGCUUUCUUUGUCGAGCUACUAAAUUGCUUAGAUCUAUUUACGUGUGUUAACUUUUGUUAUUAUUUAACAUUAUGCAUGAGAUCAAAUGUGUAUGAAUAAGAAGGAAGCAUCCAUGUUAGUUCUUCCCUCCCUCUCUGUCUGUUUGACUUCAUAUAUUUUGUUAUUCGGUAUUUGCUUGAACUCGUGUGGAUGCACCUUCUGCCUGUACACACAUAUAAUAUAUGUUAAAAGUUUUUUGCUACAUUGUUCCUUGUAACAGGCGUUGAACUUAAAAGUUAAAGCUUUAGAAGAGUUUCCUAGAAGAAGGAAGAUAGAAUUAAUUUCGAUUCAUUUAGGUUUUAUAUUUAUAUUGUAUAUUAUCUCAUUUUAACUCAUUUUAUCGUGGUUAUGUUAUAAUUUGUAUAACUCUAAAGCACUCUAAUAUAUAUGGGUAUUUGGGGAACCGUCUAAGGGGAGGGGGAUUUACGUGCUAUUAGUUAUAUUGUCACAACUUCUUUGUACUUAGAAAGCAUGCCUAUAGGAGCGUGAUUUAAUUGUCAAUCUUUCUUUGCUCUAAAUCUAAUUAAAAAAUGACCUUAUCGAUUUUAUGCCUUUCAAAUGUUGUCCUAAUUGUAAGCAUGUUCUAUGUUGGUCAUCUAUUCUAAUGUUAAUUAAUUACGUAUUAAAUAAGUAAAUAAAUCUCUAUAAUUCCUUUUAGCAUAAGGUGAAUUAUUGCAAGGUGUUUGUCUUUUACGUUAUUUAUCUAGUCGCAUGUUUAAUAAAUUAUGGCUCUUAUGAAAUAUAAAAUUUGUAAAAAUAAAUAAAUAAAUAAGUGUUAAGCUCAAUAAUGUGUCGCAUACAAGAAAUAGCACAAUAAGCAUGCUUAAGGUUUAAAUUUUUACAUAUAUAUUUGGAGUUAGAAAAUCAUGUCUAUCGGAAUUAUUUUAAUGUUUUGACUUUUUAAUCACCUAGAAAUCAUGUUAAUAGGCUUGUAAAUUUUUCAGCAUAUAAAUAAUUGAAAUAAUUGAAAUGAAACUCAGUGUGCAUAUUUUCUGACACUUUCAAAAUAAACAAUUCCUAUUGAUUUAUUGCAUCUAAUAAAUUGUGUGCCACUUACAUAAAUUUCUGCAUUAAUAAUAAAAAUUUUAUUGUUCUAAAAAAUAUUUUCUGCAUCUAAUAAAUUGGCUGCCUAAAAAAUAUUUCUGCAUUAAUCACAAACUGAUUUUUAAUUGUUACACUAUAAUUUUUUUUUCUGCUUAAAAAAUACAUUUUCAGCAUUAAUAAUCAAUAUAUAAAUAUGUCACUGUUUUAAAAAAUAAUUUUCUGCAUCAAUAGUUAAUCCAUAAAUAUUUUAAAAACAAUUUUCUGCAUUAAUAAUAAAUUUAUCACAAAAAAUAUUUUUUUUGCGUUAGUAACAAAUCUAUUGUUGUCCUUAAAAUAAUUUUUGGCUUUAAACAAAUAAAAGCUUUUGUUAUAAAUAAUAUUUUCUCCCUUAAUAAUUAAUCCGACUACUAUUUUAUGUACAUGUGUGAUCACAUCCUUUGCUACACUUGAAAAUAAAAAUAAAAUCUAUCAUGUUUAAUUGUUGUUCACUCUAAAAUCAACUCAAUGCUAAAAUCUGCAUUUUUGUAACAAUUGUCAGCCACCUUUAAAAAUUAAUUAGAUAAUUAUCUGCG
rnacentral:lncRNA from 1 species